GACGAACGCUGGCGGCGUGCUUAACACAUGCAAGUCGAACGAUGAAGCUGGAGCUUGCUCCGGUGGAUUAGUGGCGAACGGGUGAGUAACACGUGAGAAAUCUGCCCUUGACUCUGGGAUAACUGCGGGAAACUGUAGCUAAUACCGGAUAUUUUCCUUGGUGGGCAUCCACUGGGGAAGAAAGAAUUUCGGUCAAGGAUGAUCUCGCGGCCUAUCAGCUAGUUGGUGAGGUAAUGGCUCACCAAGGCGACGACGGGUAGCCGGCCUGAGAGGGGGACCGGGCACACUGGGACUGAGACACGGCCCAGACUCCUACGGGAGGCAGCAGUGGGGAAUAUUGCACAAUGGGCGCAAGCCUGAUGCAGCAACGCCGCGUGAGGGAUGAAGGCCUUCGGGUUGUAAACCUCUUUUAGCAGGGAAGAAGCGAAAGUGACGGUACCUGCAGAAAAAGCACCGGCUAACUACGUGCCAGCCGCCGCAGUAA
rnacentral:rRNA from 1 species